rnacentral:lncRNA from 1 species
UUGGCAGUGAAGACUGUUGCAAACAGCUUUGACUUCUGAUUUUACCAGCCAGCACGAGCUGGCCAUGGGAAUGGGAAACAGCGUGGAAGAGCUCAACAUCUGCCCCAGGAGUUGUGGGAAUAACACCGGGGCUAAUGAUUUUUCUAUUUUUUUUUUCUGUCUGACACUUGAUAUCUCUUGUCGUGUGUCUGGCAAUUCUAGGGGAGCAAGUAACAAUUCUCAUACCUAACACAAACAUCAUCGUGACCUGGCCAUGGCCCAGUAAAGUUUGGUCAGUGCCUCCACUGUGCAAAAGCUGUGAUUCGAGUGCCCUUUGUGCUCUUACGACUUCUGAGGCAGAACAAGCUUUCUAAGGUUUACGGUCAGUGCAUGGCUGUCAUGUUUCAUUUUGCCUGCUACACAUCAAGGUGAUAUCUUCAGCAAGUGCAUUUUGCUAUGCCAUUUGUUGAUUUCUGCUUUCUAAUUCCACCUGCUGGGCCCCAAACUGUCACUACAUUGAUCACCAGGCCACAGAAAAUUCCACUGGCUAUUUCCUAUGUCUUAAGCUCUUCCCAGUACAGCGGCAAGGCCAGCAAGGGUAAUGUUUGUAUUACCCUGGAACUGCUGCACAGGCAAACAAAAAACUGCAGUGCUGUCAUCUCAUUGAUAAGCCCCAGAAUUUAAAGAAACCAUCCCCCAAAGGAUAUGAAUAUGAGGGAUCUGGGAGAGCUGCCAACUUGAUAGGUUGACUGAGAAUCAGAAAUGACUGCGGUAAGUCCAGCUUUAACAUAUAACAUGACCCAACAUGAAAACAUCAGCUGCAAUGUUUGUACCUGGUCUUCACAUACUAACCAUGUCAGACUUUUAGAGUAUUUUUUCUGCAAGGACGGCACAUUUUCAAGAGUUGUAGAAGUAUCUAGAAGCCUGUAGCAUACCCACAAAGUGGAAACAGGUUUGAAACUUUAGCAAGAAGGGCAUCUUCAAAUAAAAAAGAAUAUUCCAUCCUUGCA